CAACACUUUUGGUGGAGUAGAAUGAAGCGUGAUAUUGUUGACUUUAUUGCCAAGUGUCCAAACUGUCAACAAGUAAAGUAUGAACACCAAAGGCCCGGAGGAACACUUCAGAGAAUGCCCAUUCCGGAAUGGAAGUGGGAGAGAAUUGCAAUGGACUUUGUGGUUGGUCUUCCAAGGACAAUAGGUAAGUAUGACUCCAUUUGGGUGAUUGUUGAUAGGUUAACUAAAUCUGCUCAUUUCAUUCCGG
rnacentral:misc_RNA from 1 species